UACGUAGGGUCCGAGCGUUGUCCGGAAUUACUGGGCGUAAAGAGCUCGUAGGUGGUUUGUCGCGUUGUCCGUGAAAACUCACAGCUCAACUGUGGGCGUGCGGGCGAUACGGGCAGACUGGAGUACUGCAGGGGAGACUGGAAUUCCUGGUGUAGCGGUGGAAUGCGCAGAUAUCAGGAGGAACACCGGUGGCGAAGGCGGUUCUCUGGGCCGUAACUGACGCUGAGGUGCGAAAGCGUGGGGAGCAAACAGG
rnacentral:rRNA from 1 species